rnacentral:lncRNA from 10 species
GUUUUUGGGGACUCCCCCUGCCCUUCGCACCCUGAACAACAUCUCCAGCCAUAGGCUGGAGAAACCAUAGGAUGGAGAAACCCCAUCACUGAAACAUUUUUACACUGUUACAUCCAAUAUAUGUAUGUUUAGUUAUACACCAAUCAUAGACAUGCACUAUUAUACCAGUAUAGUAGAUAUAUGAUAAAGCACAGCAUUACACAGCGAGAUAAAUGCAACUCUCUAAUGCAUACAGACAUAUUUGUGUGUGUAUAGAAUAUACACAAAGCAAUAUUUUUUUACAGGAAUUUGCAUGUGGUGCAGAUGAGAGGUACAUCCCUCCUCUGCAGACCCCUUAACCACAGGAUCCAGACAAGCCCCUCAGGGCAGCUCCCUGGCUGUCCAUCCUGGACCCCCUCUCUCCUAAAGCUGAGCCUCCUUCUCCACCCCAGCCCAGACCUCUCCCUCUUCCAGGCAGCUCACCCUCCACUCUCCUCCAUCCCAACACCGGUUGGGGAGUCAGAACAGCCUGGGAUUAACUUUGGACGGCUGCCUCCCAGCUGUGUGACUAUGAACAGUGUAUGGCGCCUCUCCAGGCUUCAGUUCUCUUCUGUAACUUGGGAUCAUAGCACCAACUUUUCAGGGUGGUUGUGAGGACAGAAAGAGGAAACACCUAGAAGGGAGCCUGGCCCAAAAAGGGUGGUCAACGAAUGGUGGCCAUCACUGUUAUCUUGCCAGAUGAGUUCACUUCUGCCUCCAGCCCUGCUGCAUACUGAUCCUUCCUUCCCUGCUGCGGGCCCCUUACCUUUCCUCCCCACCACUCCCAAUCCUCCAGGCUGGUGCUUCAGGACCCGGUUAAAGUGCUAACUUUUCUAACCACUCCAGCCCACUGAACUACUCCCCAGAUUCUCCCUAUGCCGGGAUCCCCUGACCGGCUGCCCUUAGGCCCAGGAAGCCACAGAUUGCUGAUUAACCCUUUCUGUCUACUGUCACUGCCCCAGCUGCUUAUAGGCUCCUAAAGGGCAGAGGCCACAGAGCUCCAGUGUCUUUGGUACCCACCACAGACAGUGCUCAGGCAAAGCUGCUGAAGUGGAUCAGUGCCGUCAAUCACAGGGAUCUGAGGUCUUCCAAAACCCUCCACCCCGUUACAUUUUACCACCCCUUGUCCAUUUGCUGAAAUCACAAGGCUGGGUCUGUGGGCCUGUGAAAUCCCUCAGGCCCCUGUAGAAGAGGCCACUCCAACCAGACACUCCAGCAGGUUCUGCUGAGCACAGAUCAGCAUCUAAUCACGUUUCCAUCACAACACGGUGAGAAACGUGUGACUGGCCCUUAGCAACGGUCUCUCAAGAAAGCUACCCCUAUAGAGAGCUCAUUAAGUUCGCUGCACACACGUGAGGCAAAAUCUAAAAACAGACCUGUGCUUUCUGAAGCCUCCUGCAGCACGUGGCAGAAGCUGGAAAGGGCAAGGACAGAGAUUUGCUCUAAAUAAGGGCAGGGAAAGAGAAAGCCCCUGAGCGGGUCCAGAUCCCAGAGAAAGAUGGCACUGGACUCCCUUGCUGGGGUGAGCAUCUGCAGAGUGGAGAGCCCUAAGGUGAGGCCAGGCCAGCCACCCCCACCCCAUCCUACCCCACCCCAGCCACAAGCUGCUCCCAGGCCCCGGUGCUGGGGAGCUCUCCUUCACCCCAGUAAGCCCCUGUGUCGUUUGGAACCCAGGAAAGAGCAUCACCUGGAAUUGGCCGUGAUGAGAGUUUGAAAUAGUAAGAUAAGAACUUAACAUUUAAAACUUAAAAUUCAUUUCAAUCCAGCAAACCUCAGGAACUUACCAUGUUGCAAACCACUUUCCUGGGUGACCCAGUCCUCACUGUUAAGAAGUUUACAAGAACAUGUAAGACUUACAACUCAUACCCACAAUUCAGGAUGACACACAGUGAAUGCUGUAAUGGAGAAGCAGGCAAUGCAUUCUGAAGGCAGAGAGAAAGGAAAACCACCACCAAACAGGGAAUCAGGGAAGGCUGCAUGGAAGAAACGGCACCUGCCCGGGGCCUUGGCUCCUAACUCCUGGUACCUGAAAGUUGUCUUCUUCAGUGUUCAGUUGCAUGCAGCUAGCGCUGGUUAAGUAGUUAAUUAAGAAGGUGUCUUGAGAACUUGGUUACCACCUGUUCCCUGGUUUGCUGAGGGAAAGUUGCGGCUUCUGCUAAGUUUUAAACAUAGCGGAAACCACUUACAAAUUAAUGAUGGAAUUAGGCUGGGGUGCAGGCUCACACCUGUUAUUCCAACACUGUGGGAGGUCAAGGUGGAAGGAUCACUUGAGCCUAGAAGUUGGAGGCCAGCCUGGGCAACACAGCAAGACCCUGUGUCUACGAAAGAAAAAAAAAAAUUAGCCAGGUGUGGUGGUGGCCUGGGUCUACAGUCCCAGCUACUCAGGAGGCUGAGGCAUGAGGUCCGUUGGAGCCCAGGAGUUCAAGGUUACAAUGAUUGCACCACUGCACUCCAGCCUGGGCAGCAGACUGAGGCCCUGUCUCUAAAAAAUAAAAGUUAACUAUUAAUGGUGGAAUUAAAAUAGAAUGUAUUGGUCCUCAAAAUAUGGUCCCCAAACCUGCAGCAUCAGUAUCACCUGAGAACACUGUAGAAAUGCAUAUUCUUAGGCCUUACACCAGACUUACUGAAUAGAAACUUGGGGAGUGGAGCUCAGCAAUCUCAGUUUUAUCCAGCCCUCUGGUGAUUCUGAUGCAUGCUCAAGUUUGAACAGCUCUCAUGUAAUUACUUGAAGCUAAGAUGAGAAAUGAUUGAUUUCUGUGCCAAAAACAAACAAACAAAAAAACCAAACUUGUAGAAACUGCCCAGCUUGACUGCCUCCCUCAAAAGAGUAUUUGUUGUCCAGGCACAGUGGCUCACACCUGUAAUCCCAGCACUUUGGGAGGCCGAGGUGGGUGGAUUGCUUGAGCCCAGGAGUUUGAGACCAGCCUGGGCAACAUGGUGAAACGUUGUCUUUAGGGAGCCAACUGGAAGGUGGCUAGAGGGACUGGGAGCACAGACACCAAGGACCCUGCAGCCUUACUCCCUGUGCUGGUCUUCUCCCUUCCUUAUGGAGACCAUGGUGGUACCAUGGGCUCUCCUUAGCUCACUGUGGUGGAAAAGUAGGAAAGCCAACUGGGGCAGCAUAGGCUGCGGAGUUAGCUUCUGCUUUUAAAAUGGUUUUGAAAUGCAAGGCAGUCCCAGCCACCUUCAUGGAAUGCUAUCCUUGAUGCAAAAUCAGCACAAGGGGUAAACACUGAUCCUUUUCUGUGGAGUACACACACAAAAGACAGUCUUUCUGCAUUAAAGGGAUAGCAAACCUGGAAGGUGAAGCAAAAAGGAUGUGCGUUCCACUCUGACGUGUGUUUGAAAAGAAUGAAGAAGAGCCGGCGAGGGAGUCAGCGUCUUCACCUAAAGGUCUUGGCAGGCCACUGGACAACAGUAAAUGGGUCUGAAAAAUAACAUCAUAUACAGCUGGAGAGGGAAUGUCCAGGAGAGCCCAGAGUUUGAAAUACAGGCUAUCAGACAUGCGGGCACUGGAGCCUGGGUCAGAAGUGUCUGGGUCCACACAGGCUGCAGCUGGCAAAGGGGUGGCAUGAAGAGGGGGAGCCUCUGUGUAGUGUUAGCUGGGAGAGUCCUGCGCCAUCCUCAGAGUCACCAGGAGACUCCAUUCCCAGGAGGCAGACACUGAAACGUCUUUCUCUUAGCAAGGAGGCAGCUGUCACACCUUCUUCUGAGAGAGCCACACUCAAAGCUGGAACACUAUGGACUGUGCUUCUCUUUCAGACCCAUGGGUCCGGUAAAAGUUGGCAACAAAGGAGUUGCUCACACCUGUUAUUCCAACACUGCGGGAGGUCGAGGUGGAAGGAUCACUUGAGCCUAGAAGUUGGAGGUCAGCUUGUGCAACACAGCAAGACUCUGUGUCUAAAAAAGAAAAAAAAAUUAGGUGUGGUGGUGGCCUGGGUCUACAGUCCCAGCUACUCAGGAGGCUGAGGCAUGAGGUCCGUUUGAGCCCAGGAGUUCAAGGUUACAAUGAUUGCACCACUGCACUCCAG